AGCGCUUUGAUGACAUUUGGAAAGUGCCGAAAUAUUCUCGAUGGCUGAAAGCAAUAUAAAUAUAAUGUGACGAUAAUACUAGGGUGCAAGUCUAACGAACAGCGUAUAUCGUGAUGCUGAUGCCGAGAUUCUGACGGCAACACGAGGUCACUUUGCACUGUCAUUUUGCUGCGCCGCAGACGACCUUUAUCUUAGGAAGGGACAAUGAACUAUUUUUAUGUGACCUUUGCGACUGUAAGUUUUUGCGGAGCGCUUCACUGUGGAUGCGCAGCAACGCUCCGAAAGAACUA
rnacentral:lncRNA from 1 species